CAAUAGCGUAUAUUUAAGUUGCUGCAGUUAAAAAGCUCGUAGUUGGAUUUCGGGUGGGAAUGGCCGGUCCGCCGUUUCGGUGUGCACUCGCUACGCCCACCUUGCUGCCGGGGACGUGCUCUUGAGUUCACGCUCGGGACACGGAGUCGGCGAGGUUACUUUGAGUAAAUUAGAGUGUUCGAAGCAGGCCUACGCUCUGAAUACAUUAGCAUGGAAUAACACGAUAGGACUCUGGCCUAUCUUGUUGGUCUGUAGGACCGGAGUAAUGAUUAAGAGGGACAGUCGGGGGCAUUCGUAUUUCAUUGUCAGAGGUGAAAUUCUUGGAUUUAUGAAAGACGAACUACUGCGAAAGCAUUUGCCAAGGAUGUUUUCAUUAA
rnacentral:rRNA from 1 species